UUCAUCAGUAUUUUAUUUUCACCCUGAUAAAGUGUCUUUAUAUUUUCAAGCACUAUAGUAUAGACUGUUUCGAGAGGUGAUAUGAAAUUAUUAACAAUGACAAUCACAGAACAACAGAGUAGAAUAUUAUUAUCACAAAUAAAUAACAUAAUUAAAAUAGUAUCACAGAGAAAAUUGUAAUGUUACAGUCAAACUUAAAAUUAUAACCAAAUAUAUUUACUAGCAUAAACACAUCUCACAAAUGUAUCACUACUGUGGGUUCAUUAUUAUUCAUAGAGUGCCAAUUUUCGUUUAUUCAUGGGGAUAGUUGAAUCAUGAAUUUACGUGUUUGACAAAG
rnacentral:lncRNA from 1 species